rnacentral:ncRNA from 1 species
AAUAAAAUUUGGCAAAAUUAUCGAAAGAUAAUGACGCAAAGCUAUAGGGGCUUAACCAAACGGAAAGCCAGCCAGUUGCAUGC